CUGGAUUUUGGGCUAUGCAAGCUGGGCUACAGCAUAGGAUCCCAAAUUUUUGAGGGCUCAAUAUUUAAAUUUUACCUAGCAAUAAAAAGUUUGCAAUCAAU